AAGAGCAAAAGUCAGCCUGACUGGAUUCCGACCAAUAAGGGAUCCAGAGAAGAAAUUCUGGUCUAGCGAACCUCUAUGCCUCCUUGAUGGGGGCUAGGGAUGACAGAAAAGUUACUCCGGGGAUAACAGAGUUGUAGCGCCCGAGAGUUCAUAUCGACGGCGCUGCUUGCUACAUCGAUGUCGGCUCUUCCUAUCCCGGCCGUGCAGAAGCGGCCAAGGGUGGGGGUGUUCACCCAUUAAAAGGGAUCGUGAGCUGGGUUCAGAACGCUGUGAGGCAGUUUGUUUAAUAUCUGCUGGAGAUGUAGGAUAUCUGAAGGGAAGGACCCCCUAGUACGAGAGGAACGGGGGCUCGGGGCCUCUGGUCUACCGGUUAUCUGACAAGGUAAGCCGGGCAGCUACGCCCCAAGGGAUAAGUGCUGAAAGCAUCUAAGCACGAAACCCGCCUUGAAAAGAGAUAUCUUAGGGCUCGGGUAGAAGACCCGUUUAAUGGGACCGGUGUGUAAGUGCCAAGCUUCGGCGAGGCAUUCAGCACGCGGUUUCCAACAGCCCAUAGUUACUUUGCU
rnacentral:ncRNA from 1 species